GAUGCAAUUAACUUUAGUAUAUUUAGUAUGGGUUGCCUCAUUCUCACCUUCCUUCUCUACUCUCUUCUUCCUCAACUACGAGAUUUGACCGGAAGAUUUAUUCUCUCAAUCUGCGCCUUCCUCACAGCUAGUUACUCGCUCAGGUUGGUUGAUAUAUAU